rnacentral:rRNA from 1 species
AGAGUUUGAUCAUGGCUCAGGACGAACGCUGGCGGCACGCUUAACACAUGCAAGUCGAACGAGAGAAGAGGAGCUUGCUUUUCUGAUCUAGUGGCGGACGGGUGAGUAACACGUGAGCAAUCUGCCUUUCAGAGGGGGAUACCGAUUGGAAACGAUCGUUAAUACCGCAUAACAUAAUUGAACCGCAUGAUUUGAUUAUCAAAGAUUUAUCGCUGAAAGAUGAGCUCGCGUCUGAUUAGCUAGUUGGUAAGGUAACGGCUUACCAAGGCGACGAUCAGUAGCCGGACUGAGAGGUUGAUCGGCCACAUUGGGACUGAGACACGGCCCAGACUCCUACGGGAGGCAGCAGUGGGGAAUAUUGCACAAUGGAGGAAACUCUGAUGCAGCGAUGCCGCGUGAGGGAAGAAGGUUUUAGGAUUGUAAACCUCUGUCUUCAGGGACGAAAAAAGACGGUACCUGAGGAGGAAGCUCCGGCUAACUACGUGCCAGCAGCCGCGGUAAUACGUAGGGAGCGAGCGUUGUCCGGAAUUACUGGGUGUAAAGGGAGCGUAGGCGGGAUCGCAAGUCAGAUGUGAAAACUAUGGGCUUAACCCAUAAACUGCAUUUGAAACUGUGGUUCUUGAGUGAAGUAGAGGUAAGCGGAAUUCCUAGUGUAGCGGUGAAAUGCGUAGAUAUUAGGAGGAACAUCAGUGGCGAAGGCGGCUUACUGGGCUUUAACUGACGCUGAGGCUCGAAAGCGUGGGGAGCAAACAGGAUUAGAUACCCUGGUAGUCCACGCCGUAAACGAUGAUUACUAGGUGUGGGGGGACUGACCCCUUCCGUGCCGCAGCAAACGCAAUAAGUAAUCCACCUGGGGAGUACGACCGCAAGGUUGAAACUCAAAGGAAUUGACGGGGGCCCGCACAAGCAGUGGAGUAUGUGGAUUAAUUCGAAGCAACGCGAAGAACCUUACCAGGUCUUGACAUCGUAUGCAUAGCUCAGAGAUGAGUGAAAUCUCUUCGGAGACAUAUAGACAGGUGGUGCAUGGUUGUCGUCAGCUCGUGUCGUGAGAUGUUGGGUUAAGUCCCGCAACGAGCGCAACCCUUACUGUUAGUUGCUACGCAAGAGCACUCUAGCAGGACUGCCGUUGACAAAACGGAGGAAGGUGGGGAUGACGUCAAAUCAUCAUGCCCCUUAUGACCUGGGCCUCACACGUACUACAAUGGCUGUCAACAGAGGGAAGCAAAGCCGCGAGGUGGAGCGAACCCCUAAAAGCAGUCUUAGUUCGGAUUGUAGGCUGCAACCCGCCUACAUGAAGUCGGAAUUGCUAGUAAUCGCAGAUCAGCAUGCUGCGGUGAAUACGUUCCCGGGCCUCGUACACACCGCCCGUCACGCCAUGGGAGUCGGUAACACCCGAAGCCUGUAGUCUAACCGCAAGGAGGACGCAGUCGAAGGUGGGAUUGAUGACUGGGGUGAAGUCGUAACAAGGUA